UUUGACCUCCUCCAUUUCCAACCUGGACCAGUUCAUCUCUUCUUAGAUGGAGGAAGGGGCCCCAAAGCUGAGGACACCAGGCAGCCUUUAGAGGCUGAAAAGGACGAGAAAAUGGAUUCUCCUCCAGAGUUUCCAGAAAAGAAUUCCUUUGUUUUAGCCCACAAAGACCUGUGCCACAUUCCUGAUCUCCUGAACUAGAAGAUAAUAAAUCUGUGUUGUUUUUA